GUUCCUUUGCUCCACUCUUACCAACCUUUGCUCUGAUUUGUGCCAUGAGGACUAGAAACCUGGAAACCUACGUUUCCCAGCUACUCCAUCUCCCCACACCGCAGGCUUUCUGUUAUGUUCUGAUGAUGCAGUUGAAAGUCAAAUGCCAGAAGAUUGCGGGUAGGAGGCAGGAAUAGCUUACAGCUCUCACUCAGAUGGAUGGAGCAGCACGUGGAGACUCAUGUUAUCAACUUUUGCUCCAAGAACUACUGCAGGAACAUAUCAGGAAAGCCAAGAGAAUCCACAGACCCUUUGAAGGAACUGUACCACCCCUGCAGACUCCCUGAGAUGCCAAAAACUGUGAAUCUGCUUGCUUUCUCAACUGGGAGGCUCAUGGUCUGGGAAGAAAAUCUUAGAAGCCCAUAUGGAUGUCAAAUUAGCAAGUGAAGACUUGGAAACACCACGUCUGAGCCCACUGAAUCAGAUAAGUAGAGAUGCAACUUUGAAGUACUGGGAUCUCAACUUAUCUCAUGUGUAGAAACACAAGAGUUCUAUGUAUAUCAUGAAUUAACACACACAAUCACAAGCUGAGAAAGGAAGAAAUAGCAUUGGAGCAUUGGUACACUAUCAAAAUCAAAACAAAAUAAAAAGGAAUAAAGUAAAAUGAGCACAUAUUGAAGUACAUAGUAUAUCUACAAAAUAUCUUGACAAAGCAUAAUCUGACCUUAAUACAUCUUUUUUAAUGGGUAGAUGAUUUUGCAUUAGAAUCUUACAUAAGAUGGAGGAAUUGCUUCAACAGGGCAGCACUUCUCUGAAGAGCCAUUGUGUUUGGCCCAUCUGCUAAAGAACUGUGGGGAAUAACGUCUGCCCUACUGGCCUCAGCAAUCCACUGCAUUAAUAGAACAUAAGCGCUUAUGCAAUGGCACUGGAUCUGUGGCAGCUGUUUGUUCAAUGUUUCAUGCUUUUAGUCACAUCUGCUCCAAAUGAGUGUUAAUAUUACAGUGGCAUCCACUAAGGAUGGGCUCUGUCAGCUUUGCUGAGGAUCAGUCUGACCCCUGAAACAAUGGAAAAGCACUUUGUCCCAAAGUACCAUCUUUUAAAAUAUCUGUAUCCUCUUAACCUGCAGGUUACACCAUCAUACCCUCUCUGCCUUCAGCUUUCUGCUCUUUAAUCCACACCCCCCACCCCAACAAAUGAAAACCCAAGUCAGUGAAUCUCAAGGAGAAAAACUGCAUUUAUUUCUAGCACCCUGUCCAGCAAUGUCAGAUAACAGUUUAUUCAUCCCCCGGCCCCUGGAUGACAUUGAAGCAUAUCAACAGUGACAAAAGUAUAUUGAAUAAUUAUCUUGAAAUUAAUACAUUAUCCCAAACUUAAAUAAAUGUCAUCUGAUCAAUAUAUCUUGGAAUGGAAAGGGAAGAGAAUGUGAAGGGCAUCACUUCAUUAUUCAUUAAUUUUAGAGUAAUGUAGGCAGAUGAAAUGGUUAUUUCAGAGCACUGCUAUUAUACUCACUGGCAUUUUAAAUAACUCCCAAUAUUUAACAGUAUAUAGUCUCUUGUUGGAACAGCUUAUAGAUGUUAACACUUUGGCUUCCAGAUUCUACUGUUCUGGGAAGUCAACUGACAAUAUUCAAAGGCCAUUACUUUUGUUUCUCUCUUUAAAAAAUGCCUUUCCAUUUUCGUUGGUAACUGGUAGCUAUAGCAUAUACUUGUCUUAAAUCCUCAUGAAAUAGCCUAUUAAUGUUGCAGUCUUGAGGAUUCUAAUUGUUCCAUUAAUCAUAUUCCCAAGGAUAAAAUAAAUAACUCAAUUAUAUUUCAUUUCUCUAGUGUGUAAAUGAGACAUACAGGAUCAUACCUCCCAGAACUUAUAUAAACCAGUAUGGGAAAUAUUUUAAAGGGAAUAGAGUGUAUAGUAACAGGAAAUUAGUAGUUAACUUCAGUAGCUAAAUUACGACCAAAGGUAAUGAUUAAUGCAAAUAUACUCUACUUUAUUUUGUAUUAUCCCAUUUAAUUGGAAAUCAGUAUAUUUCCAUAUAUGGCGAUUGUAAUAUAAGUAUAGCAUUUAUAACUUAUAGUCAUAUUUGAACAGUUUGCCCACUUCCAAAAAGAAAACACUGAUAAAAUUGUCAAAAACAUUUUCUUAAGUAUGUCAAGGCAAAGAUAAUGCUUGUUUAAAAUUAAAAUAUUGAGCUUUAUUGUUAGUUAACCCUAAAAUGAUUUCAUGAUAGAAUCCUUCAUUUGCGAUUAAUGAGAAAGAAAAUCGUAGCCACAGAAUCCACUGUAAUAAAAUUAGCUGGUAGAGAUGAAGAUGGACGUUCUAUCAAACCAGUGAGUGAUUGAUAGUUGGUAAAAUUCAUAGAAAGUAAACAAACAAACCAUUCAAAAGCAUUCAAGAUCAGAUUCUAAAGAAAAUAAGUUAGCUAGACACUUCUACUUAGCAAUGCUCCAGCUCUCAAGUAUAUGUGCAGUUUAAAUGGGAAAUGACUUUGCUAAUUAGGCAUCUUUGUAUUUUCUGCCCAUGAAGUCUUUGACUUAUGUCAGUUCUCAGGCAGAUGUAGCAAGGGAGGUACUCAGUUUCCAGCCAUCACCACAGAUCCAUGACACACCUUCUUGUUUUACAGGCUGGGACAUUUCCCAUGGAGAGUGGCCACCUGUGCUGGGACUCAGGGCAGUUUUAUGACCUCAAUACAGAGAAAGUAACACAAUUUUUACAACCUUAGUUGUUCUAUGACCUGAUGAAAGUGAAUUCAGUGCACCAGGCUGACAUUCUCUUACAGUAGCUAAUAACAUGAUUAUAAUAUACUCUGAAAUGCAAAAGAACAUUUUAUCCGAUAGCACAAAAAUAGUUGAUAAUAUGUGAGUAUUCCUGACACCUUAAAAUUUAAUUUUUUAGUGAUUUAGAAUAUAUUUAGUAUUUUUUCUUAUUAAUCUAGAAACCAUUAUGUUAUGAAAAUCUACACUCCUUUGCUUUCCAUUUGAAAUGAUAUUUCUUUUUCUUCCUGCCUAUUCAUAUAAAAUCAAACCACUUUUAAACUCAGAUUAUAGCAUUUCUCUAUCAGGCUUUUCCUCCUAACUUCAUGUGAGUUGCUCUUCCUCCUUUAAACUUCUAAUGUGAUAUUUCUCAAAGUAUUUUCUAUGGAUGGUCUGCAUCAG
rnacentral:lncRNA from 1 species